UACGUAGGUGGCAAGCGUUGUCCGGAUUUAUUGGGUUUAAAGGGUGCGUAGGCGGCUUUGUAAGUCAGUGGUGAAAUACGGUAGCUUAACUAUCGAGGUGCCAUUGAUACUGCGAGGCUUGAGUACAGAUGAGGUAGGCGGAAUUGACGGUGUAGCGGUGAAAUGCAUAGAUAUCGUCAAGAACACCGAUAGCGAAGGCAGCUUACUGGGCUGUAACUGACGCUGAGGCACGAAAGUGUGGGGAUCAAACAGG
rnacentral:rRNA from 1 species